rnacentral:rRNA from 1 species
CAGUCGAACGGGACUAUGCGAGAUGAAGUUUUCGGAUGGAAUUUUGUAUAGUUUAGUGGCGGACGGGUGAGUAACACGUGAGCAACCUGCCUUCGAGAGGGGAAUAACGGCUGGAAACGGUCGCUAAUACCGCAUAACAUACGGGAGGGACAUCCCUUUUGUAUCAAAGAUUUAUCGCUCGAAGAUGGGCUCGCGUCCGAUUAGGUAGUUGGUGAGGUAACGGCCCACCAAGCCGACGAUCGGUAGCCGGACUGAGAGGUUGAACGGCCACAUUGGGACUGAGACACGGCCCAGACUCCUACGGGAGGCAGCAGUGGGGGAUAUUGCACAAUGGGGGAAACCCUGAUGCAGCGACGCCGCGUGUAGGAAGACGGUCCUCUGGAUUGUAAACUACUGUCCCCAGGGACGAAGAUGACGGUACCUGGGGAGGAAGCUCCGGCUAACUACGUGCCAGCAGCCGCGGUAAUACGUAGGGAGCGAGCGUUGUCCGGAAUUACUGGGUGUAAAGGGAGCGUAGGCGGGGAUGCAAGUUGGGUGUUAAAUCUACCGGCUCAACUGGUAGUCGCACUCAAAACUGCAGCUCUUGAGUGAAGUAGAGGCAGGCGGAAUUCCUAGUGUAGCGGUGAAAUGCGUAGAUAUUAGGAGGAACACCAGUGGCGAAGGCGGCCUGCUGGGCUUUUACUGACGCUGAGGCUCGAAAGUGUGGGGAGCAAACAGGAUUAGAUACCCUGGUAGUCCACACCGUANACGAUGAUUACUAGNU